UAGCAUAUCAUAAGCGGAGGAAAAGAAACCAACAGGGAUUGCCUUAGUAACGGCGAGUGAAGCGGCAACAGCUCAAAUUUGAAAUCUAGCUUUAUGCUUGAGUUGUAAUUUGAAGAGGAUGUCUUUUGCUUGGCUUGAAGUCUAAGUCUCCUGGAAUGGAGCAUCAUGGAGGGUGAUAAUCCCGUUUGUGGUUUCAAGUUGUUAAGCAUUAUAAGACUCCUUCAAUGAGUCGAGUUGUUUGGGAAUGCAGCUCUAAAUGGGAGGUAAAUUUCUUCUAAAGCUAAAUAUCAGCUAGAGACCGAUAGCGAACAAGUAGAGUGAUCGAAAGAUGAAAAGUACUUUGGAAAGAGAGUUAAACAGUAUGUGAAAUUGUUGGAAGGGAAGCAUUUGCAAUCAGAUUUGUGCUGAUUAAAUUCACCUACACAUUUUUGUGCUUAGAGCAUUUUUUUUCAGCACUUGUCAACAUCAAUUUGAGUAGUGAUAAAAACCUAAUCAAAAUGUAGCUCUUUACCGAGUGUUAAAGGUGAUUAUGGCUUGUCACUUACUUAGAUUGAGGCACGCGCAUAUUAUGCAUGGAUGUUGACAUAAUGGUUGUAAGUGGCCCGUCUUGAAACACGGACCAAGGAGUCUAACGUUUACGCGAGUGUUUGGGUGUUAAGCUCAAGCGCAUAAUGAAAGUAAAUGUAGGUGGGAGAUUUUUAAAAAAGAAAAUUGCACCAUCGACCGAUCUUGAAGUUUUCUGAUGGAUUUGAGUAUGAGCGUAAUUGUUGGGACCCGAAAGAUGGUGAACUAUGCCUGCUUAGGCUGAAGUCAGGGGAAACCCUGAUGGAGGGUCGCAGCGGUUCUGACGUGCAAAUCGAUCGUCAAAAGUGGGUAUAGGGGCGAAAGACCAAUCGAACCAUCUAGUAGCUGGUUCACACCGA
rnacentral:rRNA from 1 species